rnacentral:rRNA from 1 species
CAGUAGCCGCGGGAAUACGUAGGGUGCAAGCGUUAAUCGGAAUUACUGGGCGUAAAGCGUGCGCAGGCGGUUAUAUAAGACAGAUGUGAAAUCCCCGGGCUCAACCUGGGAACUGCAUUUGUGACUGUAUAGCUAGAGUACGGCAGAGGGGGAUGGAAUUCCGCGUGUAGCAGUGAAAUGCGUAGAUAUGCGGAGGAACACCGAUGGCGAAGGCAAUCCCCUGGGCCUGUACUGACGCUCAUGCACGAAAGCGUGGGGAGCAAACAGGAUUAGAUACCCGCGUAGUCCCUGUCUCUUAAAC